rnacentral:lncRNA from 1 species
UACACUGUUCCUUAAUCAAGAUUUAAAGAUACAUGAUAAAAGCAAGAUACAUAUGAGAACUAGAUAUCUAGCCUAGGCUCUAAACAGAAAUGCUAAUAUCAGCCUAGGGAGAAUCUAAUGGCUGGGAUCUAGUCCUCAUCCUCCUAGUGUACGUGGCGAGGGGAGGUCGAGCCUGGUGAGACUGUGUCUGGCGUGGAGCACGACGAGCUGGAUGACUCUGUGCCGAAAUCUCUGACUCAGCAGCCUAUGGCACAGAUGGUCCAUGGGUCUUUCUCUCUCCGGAGUGCUCCUAUCUGCUGCCUCAGAUCACUGAUCUCAGCAGACAUGACGUCCAAUCGGACGUCCAAUCGGCUCAUCAGCCCGUCAGUGAUAGUCCUCGCCUGAGCUGACAUGAGCUCAGUCAUCCUGCUCCAGAACUCAUCCGUAUCACUCGGAGGAACGGAUGACGAUGGUCCAGUCUCUGAAGGUGCAGUAGGAUGAUCCAUAUGCUCCUCAUCCUCAGCCUUUGGUGCAUCUCCCUCUGGUGCCUCACCCUGAAUGCCUGCUCCAGUGUUAAUCCACUGCCCGUUCACUUUUUCAUAUCCCAUGCGUAUAAGUGUCCGUGCAGUGUAUGUGUCAGUAUGAAGCAGACU